rnacentral:rRNA from 1 species
AGCAAUACAAGGCAGACGGCUCAGUAACGCGUAGUCAACCUACCCUAUGGACGGGAAUAACCUCGGGAAACUGAGAAUAAUACCCGAUAGAACAUUAUGCCUGGAAUGGUUUAUGUUUCAAAUGAUUUAUCGCCGUAGGAUGGGACUGCGGCCUAUCAGUUUGUUGGUGAAGUAAUGGCCCACCAAGACUAUUACAGGUACGGGCUCUGAGAGGAGUAGCCCGGAGAUGGGUACUGAGACACGGACCCAGGCCCUAUGGGGCGCAGCAGGCGAGAAAACUUUGCAAUGUGCGAAAGCACGACAAGGUUAAUCCGAGUGGUUUCUGCUAAAGGAACCUUUUGUCAGUCCUAGAAACACUGAUGAAUAAGGGGUGGGCAAGUUCUGGUGUCAGCCGCCGCGGUAAAACCAGCACCUCAAGUGGUCAGGAUGAUUAUUGGGCCUAAAGCAUCCGUAGCCGGCUCUGUAAGUUUUCGGUUAAAUCUGUACGCUCAACGUACAGGCUGCCGGGAAUACUGUAGAGCUAGGGAGUGGGAGAGGUAGACGGUACUCGGUAGGAAGGGGUAAAAUCCUUUGAUCUAUUGAUGACCACCUGUGGCGAAGGCGGUCUACCAGAACACGUCCGACGGUGAGGGAUGAAAGCUGGGGGAGCAAACCGGAUUAGAUACCCGGGUAGUCCCAGCUGUAAACUAUGCAGA